rnacentral:lncRNA from 10 species
AAUUGAACUGCUUAAUUCAAUGCUGCAAUAUAAAAUACGUAAGAAUUUUUGUGGGAUUGGCAACUCUAUUGAUUAGCUUUUGUUUAAAAUGUGUCAUUUUUUAAGUGAAUAUUUGCUCCAAAUUUUUAACGAAUUAAAAUACAAAGAAUAAUUCUCAAAGUGUACAUCGUGAAGGAUAGAAUAUGUUUCAGACACUUCUAUGAUUAUUUUAAGCUUAUAUCUUUUAAUCUGGCCAUCAGAAUUUAUGCUGCAAUUUUUGAAGCAACUUAUUACUAAGUCAUGGACUCAGGAAUGCUAGCUGAGGAUGGCCAGUGAAAUAGCACCCAAGUUGUAUACUCAGCAAUAUUGGGAUUUGCAAAAUGAAGGAAAAAGUUAAUUCAUUCUAUUAACAGGAUUAUAUUUUAAAAUAGAAGAGAUCUUUUUAUGUAAUAAAUUACUGAUUCAUUUCUCAAAAUAAAAACCUCCUGCUAGUUAUCAUUUGAAUAAAAAAAUUUUUGUGGUUAAGGAGAUUUUAUAUAUAUAUAUAUAUACACACACACAUAUAAUUAGCUUUAAAGCAUUAAAACAUAUGCAUAUAAAUUGCAGCAUAAAUAUAAUAAUAAUAUAUAUAAAUAAAGUUUAAAUGCUUUAUAUAUAUGUAUAUUUCAGAAAUUUAUCUGAGGAUACAGAGUAUUUAAAUACACUUUAAGAUUAACAUUAAAAUAAAUUAUAAUUUAGCCACAAAUUUAUAUUUUGUUUCCAGUAUAAAUUCAUAAUUAGAUCAACCUUGGCUUGAAUGUAGUUUAUGUUUGCAACCAAGAAAGUGAGUAUUUUACAUAACUGAAUCAUUAAUUUUUCCCAUUGUACCUGAACUUUACAUCUUUAUCCUUCAGAAGAGCUCUAACAUCCUUAAUUGCAUCCUGCAUUAUUUUUGUAAAAUAGCUUUGUUUUAUACGUUUAUGGCAUAAUUAUUUCAGAACAAUAUGAAAACAUAGAGAUAUCACAUUUGUUUUGUAUGCACAUUUUUCUUUCCAUUGUGUUUUAUAAUUUUAUAGGGAAUGGUAAUUCUGUAUAUUAUAUUUUAUUUGAAUAUUGGGUGCCACAUUAAUUUAAUUGAUUUUUAAAAAUUCAUAGCAGUCCAUGUAAAGAAACUACUUCAACCUUCUUGGUAAAUAUGGAGAUGUACCCCAGAUUCUCCUCAUCAGGGAAGGCCUUACUAUGCAACAGCAGCGGGGGAGGGCCACCAGAGUCCAGUGACUGAGAGAGAUGAAGAUAUA